rnacentral:rRNA from 1 species
UACAGAGGGUGCGAGCGUUAAUCGGAAUUACUGGGCGUAAAGCGUGCGUAGACGGUUAUGUAAGUCGGAUGUGAAAGCCCCGGGCUCAACCUGGGAAUUGCAUUCGAGACUGCAUAGCUAGGAUGCGGAAGAGGGAAGUGGAAUUUCCGGUGUAGCGGUGAAAUGCGUAGAUAUCGGAAGUAACAUCAGUGGCGAAAGCGACUUCCUGGUCCAGCAUCGACGUUCAGGCACGAAAGCGUGGGGAGCAAACAGG